ACUCACUCUGGGAGAAACCAGCUGCUGUGUCAUGAGUGCGUUCAGGCCACCUGUGAAGAAGUACCUGGAGUGGAAGGGAAGCCUCUGGACAACAGCCAGCGAGGAGCUGAGGCCCGCCGACGACCACACCGGUGAGAGAGCUGAGACUGAGAGAGGUCAGACAAGCCUGCUCAAGGCCAGUCAAAGCCUGCAGUCACCUGUGUCUCCAUCCAAAUCUCUUCCAGCUACACCACAGUUCAACUAAGAAGGUGAUAGACAAAUUUAAACUGCAAAGUGGUGCUGUGUAAGAUGUAAAGAAUCUUUUGAAGGUUUACAGGAACCUCAUGACCUGACCUACUUGGACAGCUGUAAGAACAAAGAAUUCUGACACUAAGAAGUUUGCAGUAACAAACCAAACAAACAAACACCAUCUCUCUUUAGCAUAGAAGCCUGAGUUCUGUCUUGGGUAAGAUGGUUCCCUAGGACACUAGGUGGCCAUCAUCUCAGACUUCCAGCUCUCCAAAUAAAGUUGUUAUUCC